UGUUAUGUGAUAAUAAAUCACAACAAGCAGUGCAGUGCCCCUUUGGAACCUGCUGUUCGGCACAGACGAUCUGGUUCUGUGAGGGUUACAGAUCCAGUCUGUACUGGACCUCAACAACCAAUGAGGGAGGAGUAUCCCGGAGCAGCUGAGGAAGCUGCCAGGAAACGGUGGAACAGAGUGGGGUGUUAAUCAUGAACGAAGGAGAGAGAGUGAACCAAAAGGAGAAGAAGAGGAAAGAAGAAAAGAAGACGGACACGAUGAAAGAAAAGUAGAGCGCCUGUUUUCUUUCUCCGCUCGUGUUUCAACACUCGCCUACAGAAGCUACAGAGAUUAAUAGGACUGAUAUUUGGAUCAAUAAUUCAUUUGGGCCCGUUCAGCGUCGCCACUGGUCCAUGAACGCAAACACAAAAUCUGACUUCAUCCGCCCCAAAACUCAAAUACAAAAACAAAGAAACAAAACACAGACCCUGUACCGGCCGCACGCUCUAUCAGCUACUUGAUGCCCUGCGGAGUCUCCCCGAGAGCUGAAAACAACUUCUAUUUCUCCUUGAGCGGCGGAUUACCACCUCGCAGAAAUAAAUCCUUCUUCCCUCUGCAGAGACAAUGAGAUUUAGAGCGAGCGGAGGCGACCCGCCGACACGCCGAGCCUUUAAUUCUAUUCAGGAGAGAAGACAAAGUGGAUACACUAAUUCUGCGUCCAAUGAUGGAGGGCUGGCAGUGAGAGGUCGUGUGUGUGUGUGUGUGUGUG